UGGGGAAUAUUGGACAAUGGAGGAAACUCUGAUCCAGCAAUUCUGUGUGUGUGAAGAAGGUUUUAGGACUGUAAAACACUUUUAGUAGGGAAGAAAAAAAUGACGGUACCUACAGAAGAAGCAACGGCUAAAUACGUGCCAGCAGCCGCGGUAAUACGUAUGUUGCGAGCGUUAUCCGGAAUUAUUGGGCUUAAAGGGAGCGUAGGCUGUUUGUUAAGCGUGUUGUGCAAUGUAAGAGCUCAACUUUUAGAUUGCAGCGCGAACUGGCAGACUUGAGGGCGCACAACGUAGGCGGAAAUCAUGGUGUAGCGGUGAAAUGCUUAGAUAUCAUGACGAACUCCGAUUGCGAAGGCAGCUUACGGGAGCGCAACUGACGCUAAAGCUCGAAGGUGCGGGUAUCGAACAGG
rnacentral:rRNA from 1 species